rnacentral:rRNA from 1 species
CCUACGUGUGGCAGCAGUGAGGAAUAUUGGUCAAUGGACGAGAGUCUGAACCAGCCAAGUAGCGUGAAGGAUGACUGCCCUCUGGGUUGUAAACUUCUUUUAUAUGGGAAUAAAAUGUUCCACGUGUGGGAUUUUGUAUGUAUCACAUGAAUAAGGCUCGGCUAACUUCGCGGCAGGUGCCGCGGUAAUACGGAGGAUCCGAGCGUUAUCCGGAUUUAUUGGGUGUAAAGGGCGCGUAGGUGGAUUCUUAAGUCAGUUGUGAAAGUUUCCGGCUCAACCGUAAAAUUGCAGUUGAAACUGGCAGUCUUGAGUACAGUAGAGGUGGGCGGAAUUCGUGGUGUAGCGGUGAAAUGCUUAGAGAUCACGAAGAACUCCGAUUGCGAAGGCAGCUCACUGGACUGCAACUGACACUGAGGCUCGAAAGUGUGGGUAUCAAACAGGAUUAGAUACCCCUGUAGUC